rnacentral:rRNA from 1 species
GACGAACGCUGGCGGCGUGCUUAACACAUGCAAGUCGAACGGAAAGGCUCCAGCUUGCUGGAGUACUCGAGUGGCGAACGGGUGAGUAACACGUGGGUAAUCUGCCCUGCACUCUGGGAUAAGCCUGGGAAACUGGGUCUAAUACUGGAUAUGACCUUUCUCCUUAUGGGGUUUGGUGGAAAGUUUUUCGGUGUAGGAUGAGCCCGCGGCCUAUCAGCUUGUUGGUGGGGUGAUGGCCUACCAAGGCGACGACGGGUAGCCGGCCUGAGAGGGUGAUCGGCCACAUUGGGACUGAGAUACGGCCCAGACGCCUACGGGAGGCAGCAGUGGGGAAUAUUGCACAAUGGGCGGAAGCCUGAUGCAGCGACGCCGCGUGAGGGAUGACGGCCUUCGGGUUGUAAACCUCUUUCAGCAGGGACGAAGCGUAAGUGACGGUACCUGCAGAAGAAGCACCGGCUAACUACGUG